CCUACGGGAGGCAGCAGUGAGGAAUAUUGGUCAAUGGACGCAAGCCUGAACCAGCCAUGCCGCGUGCAGGAAGACGGCCCUAUGAGUUGUAAACUUCUUUUGUACGGGGAUAAACGCAGAUACGCGUACCUGUCUGAAAGUACCGUACGAAUAAGGAUCGGCUAACUCCGUGCCAGCAGCCGCGGUAAUACGGAGGAUCCGAGCGUUAUCCGGAUUUAUUGGGUUUAAAGGGUGCGUAGAUGGUCUGUUAAGUUAGUGGUGAAAUCUCGAGGCUCAAAGGUGGAAUUGCAUUUGAUACUGGUAGUCUAGAGUGCAGUUGCGGUAGGCGGAAUGUAUGGUGUAGCGGUGAAAUGCUUAGAGAUCACGCAGAACACCGAUUGCGAAGGCAGCUUACCAAGCUACUUCUGACGUUGAGGCACGAAAGCGUGGGGAGCAAACAGGAUUAGAUACCCCGGUAGUC
rnacentral:rRNA from 1 species